rnacentral:lncRNA from 1 species
UACCUGAUUGCAUUCCCUCAUAAGGCUCUCACAUAUUAUAUAUAGGCAAGGGGUACUCUAUGAAUUGAGGGAGACAGAUUUUACACUGGACUCACACACGAAAAAACCCUCUGAAAUUCAGAAUCCUUUUCUUCCUUUUAAGACUGAUUUUGACAUUGAGGAAAACACUCAAAAAAGUUCUAUCAAGCUGAGUCUUUUGGGGAUAUGUCUUCUGUGUUGCUUCUUGUUCUCGUUUGGCAGUGUUUGAGCUCUAGUUCUAAAGCUCGGAUCCCUGCUUGUUCCACUGUUUGUUGUUUCUCAGCUAGUAGCUGAGCCUGUUUCUUUGGAUUUCAGACCUUUAUUUGGUCAUUUCUCUGUUGUUCUCUACUUUAGGUAUGUAAAUAUUCAUUUGCAGUUUACAUAUGAAUAAAUUUUGGCUUUCUCAUGUCACAUUCAUGCUUAGUUUUCAUAAAUUUGUGGUGCUUGGUGGCCAGAUCUUCUAGUAUUUGUUCCCAGUUAAUCUUUAGUUCUUUAAAACAACAUGUUGAAAGAUGUAUUUGUCAUGUCUUUUCCCUACUUUCCCUUUGUGAGUUGAAAUCCUGAAAAGUUGAAAUCAUUUGAAUCCUAACUUUCUUUUUCUGCUUGUUUCAAUUGUGAUAAGUUGGAUAUUGAUUUGCAAGUUAGCUCUGUAGCUAUCCUUGUAAAUGCAACACUGGUUUGAAGAAUUGCAAAAUCACAUGUGCCAGAACUGAGUACCUUAGCAGAAGUUAAUGCGAUUGGAAACAACAGGAGUGCUUGUAUAGCUUUUCAAUGAAGUUACAACUGAUAAUUAGCUAGAUGCAAGGAAUCUAUAAUACUAAG